rnacentral:lncRNA from 1 species
AGGCUGUGGUGUAAGAUCAUCCAUCCUUGCUGGCUAUCAGCAAGGUCGCUGGAACCAAAGAAAGCGCCCGGCUCUUCUUACAAUCGAAGGCAUUCAUGCCCAAGAUGAGACUGAACUCUAGCCAGUCAAGAAACAUGCUUAUGUUUAUAAAGCAAAGAAGAGCAGCAUGGUGACUCCUGCAGGUAAACAGAACAAGAGAGAGAUCCGGGGAAAUAAACUUAGAGACACGGAAACAGUGGCGGGUUCAUGCUGCGGUCCAGUGCAGCCUCUGCAAAGCCCAGUGGACACAGAACCCAUGGAAUGCUGUCGCGCUCGCAG